rnacentral:rRNA from 1 species
CAGUAGGGGAUCUUCCACAAUGGACGAAAGUCUGAUGGAGCAACGCCGCGUGAGUGAAGAAGGGUUUCGGCUCGUAAAACUCUGUUGUUAAAGAAGAACAUAUCUGAGAGUAACUGUUCAGGUAUUGACGGUAUUUAACCAGAAAGCCACGGCUAACUACGUGCCAG